rnacentral:rRNA from 1 species
GGAUAAGUAAUGGAUUGCAGAAUUCCGGAAUCAUCGAGUCUUUGAACGCAACUUGCGCCUGGCUUGAGUCACCAAGGGGCCAUUCGCUAGAG